UUCAAUCCUGAAGGUGAUUCAUUUUGCCCUUUGCUGAUAUUCGUCUUGAACUUCUGUUCUGCUUUCCCAUUCUAGUAUGGCUGCCAUCCCUAUUAAAUUUGAUUCUCUGUUUGAUCUGCUAGAGUCCUUUGUUGGUUCGAAUUACUAUUUUCUUCAGGAUGUCAUUUUUUAGUGUGUAGCUUGUUUCAUUCCUGUGCUGGACUUUCUAACGUGGAAAUCUUUUCAUUCUCAGCACAUUGAAAAUAUUUCAAGUAAUUUGCAAUUAAAUGAUAAAAAUGCAGCUACUUCCUCCUUGUUCUUUAAUUUGUGGUGCCCUUUGAUAUUCGCCUGUACGGGUUUGACAGUUAUGUUUAUUUGUGUCGGUGUGUCCAUUUGCUGGGAGCCUGGAGGUUGUGUUCUGAAUACUUUUUUUAUUUUUAAUUAUUAUUCUGAUUUCUGAAUUUUAUAUUUUUGGCCUGUGUUUCUGUUGCUCUCAUAUUACAACAUCAUACAUUUGAUUUUAUGCAGAGAUCUCUGGUUUGGUUAUGAUGGCUAAAUUUGGUAGAUUGUUGCUAUAGGUCCUGCCUCUUGAACACAAGCCCUAAACAAGAGAACCCAACAAAGGACGACGUCAUUAACAUCACAUCGUCUGGAUUCAAGGUCUUUAUAGUCUGGAUUCUGAUGACCACAGAAGUUGAUGAAGAAACCAAUAACUGAGGAAGUGGUUUGACGAAAACCCAGAAGAAGAAAGUGACAGAGCAGUGGCUCCUGUGCACCAAUAUUGUCUUCAAUUCUAGAGCCACCACGACAGAAUUCAAAGUAGCCUCUUGGAUUGGAAGUGAUGUGUGUACUCAAAAGCCAUUGGAAAUCUGAUGAUGAUAAUUCAAACCGUGAUUGUGAUUCAUUAAUAUUGCAUUUUGAUACCAUUGAUUUGUCAUU